rnacentral:tRNA from 1 species
UAGCUAAGCUGGUAAAGAAUCUGCCUGCAAUGCAGGAGACCCUGGUUUGAUUCCUGG